GAUGAACGCUGGCGGCGUGCCUAAUACAUGCAAGUCGAGCGAACAGACGAGGAGCUUGCUCCUCUGACGUUAGCGGCGGACGGGUGAGUAACACGUGGAUAACCUACCUAUAAGACUGGGAUAACUUCGGGAAACCGGAGCUAAUACCGGAUAAUAUAUUGAACCGCAUGGUUCAAUAGUGAAAGACGGUUUUGCUGUCACUUAUAGAUGGAUCCGCGCCGCAUUAGCUAGUUGGUAAGGUAACGGCUUACCAAGGCAACGAUGCGUAGCCGACCUGAGAGGGUGAUCGGCCACACUAGAACUGAGACACGGUCCAGACUCCUACGGGAGGCAGCAGUAGGGAAUCUUCCGCCAUGGGCGAAAGCCUGACGGAGCAACGCCGCGUGAGUGAUAAAGGUCUUCGGAUCGUAAAACUCUGUUAUUAGGGAAGAACAAAUGUGUAAGUAACUAUGCACGUCUUGACGGUACCUAAUCAGAAAGCCACGGCUAACUACGUG
rnacentral:rRNA from 1 species